rnacentral:rRNA from 1 species
GACGAACCGUGCGAACGUUGUUCGGAAUCACUGGGCUUAAAGGGCGCGUAGGCGGGUUCUCAAGUCAGGGGUGAAAUCUUUCGGCUUAACCGGAAAAGUGCCCCUGAUACUGAGAGUCUCGAGGGAGGUAGGGGCAUGUGGAACUAAUGGUGGAGCGGUGAAAUGCGUAGAUAUCAUUAGGAACGCCGGUGGCGAAAGCGACGUGCUGGACCUCUUCUGACGCUGAGGCGCGAAAGCUAGGGGAGCAAACGGG